rnacentral:lncRNA from 1 species
GGAACACUUACUAUCACAUGCUCAUUGUUGCAGGACGGAUGCGUGGCCAGCCUCAGGUUGUUAAACAUUAGGGUGAUCCGCCUUCCCUCCGGGGCAGUGAUUCUCCACUCGCAGAUCCGGCCAUGAGGAUUUGGGUUCGGGUAGUUGGGAGAAGUAAAUGUUCCAAUAGAGCCCUGAAGAUCCCCACCACACUCUGACGUGGGGAAAAAGCCAAGAAAACUUUCAAUCAAAUCAAAAUGUUUCCUUCCAUCAAGAAAGCUCUCAAAAUUCAGGUGUCCUGUGUGUACAAAGAAAAUAAUAAAAAACAAGACCCUGCCUAUGAAGAAACGUUAAUCUCUGUCAAGACAACAGGAAAACAUGAAUAAAAAUGAACAUAUUCAAAUACAUGAAGAAGUGAAAAAAAUGCAACCAAUUAGGGGAAGGAUAUCUCAGCACAAUGAGGAAGGCUUGCUCAUUUGGUUGAAAAAAUGAUCUGAGACAACAGUGACAAGUAUCUGCCUUAUGCUACCACUAGGAGACAUGCAUGAUCCCUUCCCCAUCUCAAGCUAUAGAACACCCCUCAAAUAACGGCAUGUGGCAAUGGGAUGUCUCAGCAGCAAGAGGUGCCUUCCCACUACCGUUGCUCUCCCCAAGUGGCCUCCAGGGUGGGCUAUAUGACACCUGGGCUCUGGGCAUCCAUUGUUAAUGGUAGAAUUGAGGGAGAGAAUCACCAGUACUGCCCAAAGCUCAUUAGUCUGCACUUCUCUGCAGAGUAUAGAUGUGCUUUUGCCUUUCUUGGAAGUGAAGAAACUUCAGAGGCUGAAUAAGUACAUGUGAAAAUAAACACCCAAAAGAGAGCAGAUAUAUUUUACUAACCAGAGGUAUGAUUGUCCCAGAUCUCCACGAAGUCUUUUUCACAGCCAGAAGAAUUCUGAA